rnacentral:lncRNA from 1 species
GGAUCUUGCGUUUGACUUGCAGUGUGUUCCAUAGUGUUCUCUAACACAUGGGGUGUUGGAUCUGCCACGUUAAUUAAUGAGGCGUUGUUCAACGCUCCAUGUUUUUUUUUUUAAUUCUUUUUGUUUUAUUAUUUUUAAUUGAUUUUUCUUUUAAAAUUCAUAGUAAUUUCAUUUUUUAUCCAAAAAAUCCCAAAAUAAUUUCUAAAAUUCUCUUUC